UACGUAGGGUCCGAGCGUUGUCCGGAAUUAUUGGGCGUAAAGAGCUCGUAGGCGGUUUGUUGCGUCGGCUGUGAAAUCCCGAGGCUCAACCUCGGGUCUGCAGUCGAUACGAGCAAACUAGAGUGUUGCAGGGGAGACUGGAAUUCCUGGUGUAGCGGUGAAAUGCGCAGAUAUCAGGAGGAACACCGGUGGCGAAGGCGGGUCUCUGGGCAACAACUGACGCUGGAGGAGCGAAAGCCGUGGGGAGCGAACAGG
rnacentral:rRNA from 1 species